GGGUUUUCAGUAAAAGAGAAGAUUUUGUGUGAAAAAUGAAGGAGUCCAAAGUUGGAAUAAGAAUCAAUGAGUUUGGAGGAAAGAGAAGAGUUUUGAUGGAGACCAUGGAGGAAGAAUCUAGCAUGGAUUUGUUGAAGGUAUUGUGGUUUUGUGCAGAGAUUUAAUAUAGAAGAGGUUGUGUUGAAAAACCUUGUUGUUUGAAAAGGUUUAAUGUUCGUGAUUUUGAGAAUGUUAAGGUAGACCAUGUCUAGAACUUAACCAAAGGCAUCUGAUCGCGCGCUACUUACU
rnacentral:lncRNA from 1 species